rnacentral:rRNA from 1 species
UACGUAGGGUGCGAGCGUUGUCCGGAAUUAUUGGGCGUAAAGGGCGCGUAGGCGGCAAUUCAAGUCAUCUGUGAAAUCUCCGGGCUUAACCCGGAACGGUCAGGUGAUACUGUUUUGCUAGAGUGCGGAAGGGGCAAUCGGAAUUCUCGGUGUAGCGGUGAAAUGCGUAGAUAUCGAGAGGAACACCAGAGGUGAAGACGGGUUGCUGGGCCGACACUGACGCUGACAGCGCGAAAGCCAGGGGAGCAAACGGG